rnacentral:lncRNA from 1 species
AUGAAGGUAAUUCACCUAACUGUAGUUUUCACUCGUCUGAAAGGUGCAGUUACUUCCAGUGUGCACACUGCUAAUGUUUUACCCGUAAAGAACUCAAGGAAAACUUGCAACACGAGGAGUCGGCGUCGGGGCCGCGGGGAGGCUGGCGAGGCUCCGUCCUCGCACGCGGCCGCAGCCCGGGCUCAGCCCCGCGCCGCAGCCCUUCGUGGCGCCCGCGCGGUGCUUUGGGCACGCGCACGCGUGCGUCCACCACGUCUGCGCCCCACGGCCGCCGCGCCCUGCCCCUGCCAAGCCCCGCGCUGCAGAGCUGAGGGGUCGUUCGACCCCGGCGCCAACCCGCCUCGGCGGGCCCGGAGCUUGCAGGAACGCCCGUAACAGCCCGGCAGCGUCCUCUCCGCACGCCGGCAAGCCUCUGCUUCGUGAAACGUCGGCGUUCGGAGGCUGAAUCAUAAAUGCUACCGAACCACCAAAUAAUCAUCAACGCUAAAAGCAGAUGAAGAGAUAACACAACUUCAAAGGCGAGAUAACUGCACCAUGACUUUCAUCUAAACACUAGGUUACAAGGGCAAGUAAGCAAAAAGACAGAGCUAAGGCUGGAUAUCUGGACUGAGCAUCAGAUAACACAGGGUUUUACUCUUUCUGAUUUUCAUUUCCUGUUUUUAAACAGAGGAUAACAAAGAAAAUUUUUUGAACGUGGGAGACUAAGUCAUUAAAAUAGACGCACUUUGAUGGCUUUCUUCCUUGAGGGAAUUUACCUUGUUUUACUCUAUCUGACACAAGUCAGAAAGAAGUGAGACUAUUAUAAGCUUAAAGAGAAGAAAAGCUGAAUUCUGACAUGUUAUUUUCCAUUAAGAUUAGACUUUUCCCACUUACUCUGUUAAGCUUUUCUCUAGGAUCAGAAAAUGCAGCUUUCCCUACAGCGAACUUGCGAGACUGGCAGAUUUUCCUCACCUACUUGCAGCACUAGAGUGUCCUGCUGUGGCAGCGCGGAGGAUUUCUGAGAGCGC